GAAGGUGAAGCGGGGCUUCGGCCCCGUGGAAACUGGCGCACGGGUGAGUAACGCGUGGGAAUCUACCCCGGGGUGGGGAAUAACCGCUGGAAACGGCGGCUAAUACCGCAUACGCCUUGCGAGGGAAAGCUUUAGCGCCCUGGGACGAGCCCGCGUCGGAUUAGCUUGUUGGUGAGGUAACGGCUCACCAAGGCUUCGAUCCGUAGCUGGUCUGAGAGGAUGAUCAGCCACACUGGGACUGAGACACGGCCCAGACUCCUACGGGAGGCAGCAGUGGGGAAUAUUGGACAAUGGGGGCAACCCUGAUCCAGCCAUGCCGCGUGCGUGAAGAAGGCCCUAGGGUUGUAAAGCGCUUUCGGCGGGGAAGAUGAUGACGGUACCCGCAGAAGAAGCUCCGGCUAACUCCGUGCCAGCAGCCGCGGUAAUACGGAGGGGGCUAGCGUUGUUCGGAAUUACUGGGCGUAAAGGGCGCGUAGGCGGAUUGUCAAGUCAGAGGUGAAGGCCCUGGGCUCAACCUGGGAACUGCCUUUGAAACUAACGGUCUAGAGUCCGAGAGAGGA
rnacentral:rRNA from 1 species